UACGGAGGGUGCAAGCGUUGUCCGGAUUUAUUGGGUUUAAAGGGUGCGUAGGCGGCCCGGUAAGUCAGUGGUGAAAGCCUCCAGCUCAACUGGAGAACUGCCAUUGAUACUGCCGGGCUUGAGUACAGACGAGGUUGGCGGAAUUGAUUGUGUAGCGGUGAAAUGCAUAGAUACAAUCAAGAACUCCGAUUGCGUAGGCAGCUAACUAGGCUGUGACUGACGCUGAGGCACGAAAGCGUGGGGAGCGAACAGG
rnacentral:rRNA from 1 species